GACGAACGCUGGCGGCGUGCUUAACACAUGCAAGUCGAACGGAAAGGCCCUGCUUGCAGGGUACUCGAGUGGCGAACGGGUGAGUAACACGUGGGUGAUCUGCCCUGCACUUCGGGAUAAGCCUGGGAAACUGGGUCUAAUACCGGAUAGGAGCCAUUUUUAGUGUGAUGGUUGGAAAGUUUUUUCGGUGUAGGAUGAGCUCGGCCUAUCAGCUUGUUGGUGGGGUAAUGGCCUACCAAGGCGGCGACGGGUAGCCGGCCUGAGAGGGUGGACGGCCACAUUGGGACUGAGAUACGGACCAGACUCCUACGGGAGGCAGCAGUGGGGAAUAUUGCACAAUGGGCGCAAGCCUGAUGCAGCGACGCCGCGUGGGGGAUGACGGCCUUCGGGUUGUAAACUCCUUUCGCUAGGGACGAAGCUUUUGUGACGGUACCUAGAUAAGAAGCACCGGCUAACUACGUG
rnacentral:rRNA from 1 species